rnacentral:lncRNA from 1 species
UAAAUUGUGCUAGGAAGUUAUUUCCUUUUAAGUUUCGGGUCUUCUCUAUCUCAGCUAACCAAUACUCGCCCUCUUCGAAAGAAGAUGCCCCUGCAAAGGUAGAUGAGUUUAGUCUUUUAUACCUUUCAAUAUAGCCUAGGUCCAUCAUGGGUAGAACUGGGUCCCGUGGAAAAUGGACUAAAUUGUGCUAGGAAGUUAUUUCCUUUUAAGUUUCGGGUCUUCUCUAU